GUGUUCACUUUGGCAGCACAUACACUAAAACUGGAAUGAUACAGAGAAGAUUAGCAUGGCCCAUGCACAAAGAAAUAAUGGCCAAAUCAUUUUAAAAUAGAUAAAAAAUAAAUUU
ensembl:snRNA U6 U6 spliceosomal RNA